rnacentral:misc_RNA from 1 species
GAUGAAGAACGCAGCAAAAUGCGAUAAGUAAUGUGAAUUGCAGAAUUCAGUGAAUCAUCGAAUCUUUGAACGCACAUUGCGCCCGCUGGUAUUCCGGCGGGCAUGCCUGUUCGAGCGUCAUUUCAACCAUCAAGCCCCAGGCUUGCGUUGGAGCCCUGCGGCUGCCGCAGCCUCCUAAAAGCAGUGGCGGGCUCGCUAUCACACCGAGUGCAGUAGAUUACUCUUCGCUCAGGGCGUGCAGCGGGUUCCGGCCGUGAAACCCCCUACUUUUAAAGGUUGACCUCGGAUCAGGUAGGAAUACCCGCUGAACUUAAGCAUAUCAAUAAGCGGAGGA